rfam:Clostridium sp. CAG:230 genomic scaffold, scf239
AAGAUUUAUCUGGGGAGCUGGUAUGGCUGAGAGGGAUUGUGAUCCGACCCAAAACCUGAUACGGGUAAUGCCGUCGUAGGGAGUAUAAUGCAGACUAAGA